rnacentral:rRNA from 1 species
UACGAAGGGGGCUAGCGUUGUUCGGAAUCACUGGGCGUAAAGGGCGCGUAGGCGGCCGAUCAAGUCGGGGGUGAAAGCCUGUGGCUCAACCACAGAAUUGCCUUCGAUACUGUUUGGCUUGAGACCGGAAGAGGUUAGUGGAACUGCGAGUGUAGAGGUGAAAUUCGUAGAUAUCAAGCAGAACACCUGCGGCGAAGGCGGCCUUCUGGACGAUGACUGACGCUGAGACGCGAAAGCGUGGGGAGCAAACAGG